UACGUAGGGGGCAAGCGUUGUCCGGAAUCAUUGGGCGUAAAGAGCGUGUAGGCGGCCAGAUAAGUCUGAUGUGAAAUCCCCGGGCUCAACCUGGGAAUUGCAUUGGAGACUGCAAGGCUAGAAUCUGGCAGAGGGGGGUGGAAUUCCACGUGUAGCAGUGAAAUGCGUAGAGAUGUGGAGGAACACCGAUGGCGAAGGCAGCCCCCUGGGUCAAGAUUGACGCUCAUGCACGAAAGCGUGGGGAGCAAACAGG
rnacentral:rRNA from 1 species